AUACGGAGGAUGCGAGCGUUAUCCGGAUUUAUUGGGUUUAAAGGGUGCGCAGGCGGGCGAUUAAGUCAGCGGUGAAAGGCUCGGGCUCAACCGGAGCAGUGCCGUUGAUACUGGUUGUCUUGAAUGCGGUCAAGGCCGGCGGAAUGUGGCGUGUAGCGGUGAAAUGCAUAGAUACGCCACAGAACACCGAUAGCGAAGGCAGCUGGCCGGGCCUGCAUUGACGCUCAGGCACGAAAGCGUGGGGAUCGAACAGGAUUAGAUACCCUGGUAGUCCACGCUGUAAACGAUGGACACUCGUUGUCGGCGACAGACAGUCGGCGGCCAAGCGAAAGUGAUAAGUGUCCCACCUGGGGAGUACGGUCGCAAGGCUGAAACUCAAAUGAAUUGGCGGGG
rnacentral:rRNA from 1 species